rnacentral:lncRNA from 1 species
AAAGAAUUCUGUGAUAAAUGUGUAGAAAUAACAUCACCUUGUGACUUGUGCGAUUUCCUAAACUAUACACACUUUCUCUUCACAAAACACCAAAGCAGCCAACCACUCACCCACUCGCUCACCAGAAAUAUGCAGACAAUUGAAUUUGAGUGAUUAGUGCAAAGAAGUUGCUAUUUAUGUUCUCUGAUUUACAUGAUCACUUGCCUCGACCGGAGAAUGGCC